UGUAUCGGUGAUGACUACUGGUGGCUUAUGAAUUAUAAAUGAUGAAUAUUCUUUCCGAAUGUCUGAGGUAUUU
ensembl:snoRNA